AUCAACCAGGAAUACAACAGAAAAUCACACAGAGCUCUGCAUCAGAGAGAAGUAAAUACAGAUUGCCAAUGUAUUUCAAACCCAUUCUGAGACUCCCGCUUCAAACUCUGCAAAGGAAGGGAGCUGAAUGAAAGGAGAAAAUGUGAAGCAAGUAUCUUUUUCAGUCAGCUCCCACAACUGUUUUAGCUUCAUUUUCAUCUCUUCCAGUCUUGAAUCCUUUUCCAUAACUUCCCACUGAAGCCGAGUAAUUUCAGCACGGAGAAAGCAAUCUUGUUUUGUAUGAAUAUGGUGGUGGAUAUGGUUUUUGAGAUCUCUCUCUCUGGCAAAUCCAUUUCCUGAGCUUCGAUCACAGUCUGAAUAAGGACACAUCCACUUCUUCCCUUUUUGAUGAAUCUCUUCUACAUGACGGCGCACGUGAUAUUUCCGGGUAAACGAUUGGUUGCAACCGGGGAUCAUGCACCUAUAUGGGUGGUCAUGUUUAUCCAUAUGUUUGCUGUUCAUGUACUUAACACAUAGUUCAAGAAAUGGGAAUUGUAUUCAAAAAAGGGGCUGCAUACCUCCAGUCACUGCGUCUCUUGAAGUAUGGGAUAUGAU
rnacentral:sRNA from 2 species